rnacentral:rRNA from 1 species
GGGGGGCUAUCUAGGGCUACACAUGCAGUCGAGGGGCAGCAUGGAAGAAGCUUGCUUCUUCUGAUGGCGACCGGCGCACUUGUGCGUAACGCGUAUCAAACCUGCCUCAUACUCGGGGAUAGCCUUGCGAAAGUAAGAUUAAUACCCGAUGUUGUUAUGUUACCGCAUGGUGAUAUAACCAAAGAUUUAUCGGUAUGAGAUGGUGAUGCGUCCGAUUAGGUAGUAGGCGGGGUAACGGCCCACCUAGCCUUCGAUCGGUAGGGGUUCUGAGAGGAAGGUCCCCCACACUGGAACUGAGACACGGUCCAGACUCCUACGGGAGGCAGCAGUGAGGAAUAUUGGUCAAUGGACGCAAGUCUGAACCAGCCAAGUAGCGUGCAGGAUGACGGCCCUCUGGGUUGUAAACUGCUUUUAGUUGGGAAUAAAAAAGAGGACGUGUCCUCUAUUGUAUGUACCUUCAGAAAAAGGACCGGCUAAUUCCGUGCCAGCAGCCGCGGUAAUACGGAAGGUCCAGGCGUUAUCCGGAUUUAUUGGGUUUAAAGGGAGCGUAGGCGGAUUAUUAAGUCAGUGGUGAAAGACGGUGGCUCAACCAUCGUUAGCCAUUGAAACUGGUAGUCUUGAGUGCAGACAGGGAUGCUGGAACUCGUGGUGUAGCUGUGAAAUGCUUAGAUAUCACGAUGAACUCCGAUCGCGAAAGGAGGUGUCCGGGCUGCAACUGACGCUGAGGCUCGAAAGUGUGGGUAUCAAACAGGAUUAGAUACCCUGGUAGUCCCCACCAGAAAACGAUGUAUACUCGCCGGUUUGCGAUUUAUUGUAAGCCGCCAAAGCAAAAGCAUUAAGUAAUCCCACCUGGGGAAUACCCCCGGCACCGGGAAAAUUCAAAUGAUUUGACG